rnacentral:rRNA from 1 species
CUGAAACACCGGUUCUCGUUCGAUCACCGAAGUUAAGCAUCGUAGAGCCAGGUCAGUACUUAGAUGGGGGGAUUGGGGAACACCUGGUACUGUAA